rnacentral:lncRNA from 1 species
GUGUAAAUGAGAGUGUAUGGGUUUUUCCCAGAGAUGUGUUGCAGCUGGAAGAGUAUCUGCUGCGUAAAAAAUGCUGGAUAAGUUGACUGUUCAUUCCACUUUGGUGACCCCAGAUUAAUAAAGGGAUGAAGCUGAAAAAAAUGAAUGAACACAAACCCAGUUUUUCCUACUAUGUUAAUCAAUAGUUACAGGUUUCUAACAUUCUUCAAAAUAUCUGCUUUAGUGUUUAACAGAUUCAAACUGCUUUGAAACAAGUAGAGGAUGAAUAAAUGGUGGCAGAAUAGUAAACUAUAUCUUUAAAUGUUUUAUUCUGUAUGUUAUGUGUAUUCAUAUUUGUCUUGUCUUUUGUCAUAUUGUCCUUUUAGCUCAGAUUGUGAUGGACCUGGAAUGCGACACCAGUUACUCUUAAAGCCUGAUUUAUACUUCUGCGUCAGGGGACCGGCAUAACCCACGGCGCAUGCAACGCGCGUGGCUGUGCAUUUAUACUUCUGCGCGCUGUCUCUGUCGGUCUGCAUUAACACUUCCGAAACGCUAGUUGGCAGUGAGGUUUAAAUGUUCCUCUGUGUCGAGUUUCUUCGCUGCUUUUUUGCUUUUCCUGAACACUUCCGGGAUGUACAAGUGGCUCAAACUCGCUCAUUUUGAGGCAGGAACCGGUGGACGUACAACAACUUUAACUAUGAGCAGGUUCCUUGUAAAGAUUAACCCAGGGAAGGAUCGAAAGUGGAGAAGACCAGAUCAAGAAAGACUACAUCAAGAUAUGCGGUC